rnacentral:rRNA from 1 species
UACAGAGGUCGCAAGCGUUGUUCGGAUUCAUUGGGCGUAAAGGGUGCGUAGGCGGCGCGGUAAGUCGGGGGUGAAAUCUCGGAGCUUAACUCCGAAACUGCAUUCGAUACUGCCGUGCUUGAGGACUGGAGAGGAGACUGGAAUUUACGGUGUAGCGGUGAAAUGCGUAGAUAUCGUAAGGAAGACCAGUGGCGAAGGCGGGUCUCUGGACAGUUCCUGACGCUGAGGCACGAAGGUCAGGGGAGCAAACGGG